ACCGGAUCUACUUCCGGCUCUGGUUCAGUCACGUGUGUGAACAGAGCAUGACCGAGGUUAAACCGCCGGGCUGGUUCCACUACUGAGCUGCGGGCUGAGCGGAGGGUCAUACCGGGACAUAUACCGGGUCUGUGAACGCUUGUCCGAGUGCAGACCUCAGCUCUCGCGGUCAUGAACGUCCCGUGGUUUAUAAAAGCAGCGGCUAGAAGCGUCGGCGGCUCUGUGGGGUCAGCAGUAUCCAGAUCAGGCCUGCUGUGUUCCUCUAGAACUUCCCGGAAAAUGUCAUCAAGACAAGCUGACCACCUCGAACGGACGGCUAGUAAUUAUAGACAAGAGGUGAGUGACUUUUUUAUUUUUAAUUACAUUUGAUACACAUAAUUUUAUUAUAAUUAUUUCAGCAUUUGCCUUUAAAAUGUCUAGUUGUGUCUCUAGUAGGAAUAAAUGCUUGUGAGCUUUUGUUUGGGAAAAAAGU
rnacentral:lncRNA from 1 species